UGUUGCUUAGUGGUAGAGCACUUGCCUAGCAUGCACGAGGCCCUGGCUUCAACCCUCAGUAGCAG
rnacentral:tRNA from 1 species